rnacentral:lncRNA from 1 species
GUGAUCUUGGGCUCAUUGGACUCCAUUUUUCGUCGCGGACCUCGCUGUGGUUGCAAUGUGGAUAAAAUCUCGAGACAUCAAAUCUUAACAUAUGGCUACUGAGUUAAGCUUACUCUCUCUCUUUUUUUUCUAUUGAAAAUAUUCAAACCAGUUCUCUAUUAGUAUCAAUGAGUGACGCCAUCUAAUAUUCUCAUUGCAGCUAAUAAACAUUGCACUGAUACCUACAUCUGACGAUUUGGAAGAGCUCCUAGUUACUUAGUUAUCUGCAGUCUCAAUUGAGCAUACCUCUUUUUUCAUACUGAAAAUGAAUAAACCAUUAGUUUCGACAACUCAUAUUGUUUAGUAUUUUCUUUGGCAGCAUGUUUUUGGAUCUUUGCACUUCAUCUAGGGCUAGAAACCUCAUUCAACAAUCUACUGCUUCCUAUCCAUCUACAUGAUCUCCUGAAGUGGAAUGCAAUUAAUUGUGUGUGGAUCAGCAUGGAUGGGCUCUUGAUGCAUUAUGAAGUGGUUUAAUUCCUGAUAACAAGCAUGCAUAAAGUCUUUGUAUGCUUGUUGUUACAAAUGAAAUUGUUGGUUUUAUGUAAAUUGUCUGAUGUUCUUGCAAUUAAGUUAUUGAACCAGUAGAUACC